AAAUGUAAAAUACGCAUAACGUCUAGGAUGAUAUCGCAGAAUCUCUUAAUAGGACGGCAGUGCCCAGGAAAAGUUCCUAAUAUGGAAAUGGUUUACAUACAGGAUCAUGAUGCCUAGGGAGACAGUCAUGACCAGGGCCCCUCUUUUCCUCUAGGACUCACUUUGGAGCCAUGGGAAAAGCUCUGAGAACCAACUGCCAUGUAGACCGUGCCCUAUGAACAACUCUCAACUGAAGAGCAAAGAGCUAGCUGCUUGGUCCGUGGAUGGCAGUUCCACAGAUCACUUCAACUUUUCAUUCCCCUGUUCGAUGUUGCAAACACAGACGUGGAAACAGGGAUGACUCCUAAGCAAGAAACUCUAGCUGCAUACCCGACCGGCUGUGGGGCAAUAUUGGACUGUCCAGCUUCCCCUAUCACCACAGCUAAGCCAAAGACCUCCUGGAAGGCAUCUCGGACGGCGGCAACUUUCACUUCUUUAUUCGAGGUCACUACGAUAUCCAGUUCACCUCCAGAUUCUACCAAGAAAAAAAUUUCAACCCCAGAUUAAUGAAAUUGUCCUAAUCAUUG